GUGCUCGCUUUGGCAACACAUAUACGAAAAUUGGAACGAUACAGAUAAUAUUAGCAUGGCCCCUGUGCAAGGAUGACGCACAAGUUCGUGAAGCAUUCCAUAUUUUU